rnacentral:lncRNA from 13 species
CAACCAUGCCUGGCUAAUGUUUUUGUAUUUUUAGUGGAGAUGGGGUUUCACCACAUUUGCCAGGCUGGUCUUGAAAGCCUGAUGACUGCCAUAUGAUUCAGCUAGUGGGUUCAUCUGGAGAACAGAAGAGAGCAGAAGUAAAACUUGUCCCCCCUGAAACUCCUCAGAAUUGUCAGAUUUAGGUUUUUGAUUGAAGAAAAAAAAUGAAGAUGACCUUGGGAAUGGCAAUAACUGUUUAAAUAAAAGGCACAAUGCAUGAAAGAAAUAACUGAUA